GAGAAAAAAAACACCCAAAACUCACCAAAAAUAAACAAACAGGAACCCUGCUGAGAUAUAUAAGGGAAAUUCUGUUCUAGUCUUCUGCAUAAGCCAAGCUCUUCUAUGGAGUGGAGAUACAGUAAUCGAGUGCUGUACACUUGAAAGCGAGCUGAUUCCUGAAAGACAAGGAGCUUUUAUGCCUGAUGACCUCAGCAGGCAGGAGGCUGUGGAGAAGAACCAUGCCUGCAGCUGAGCUGAUUUUUUGGGAAGUGCUCUCAUUCCCCUCCAUCAGGCACAUGGAUGCGGUACCCUGGAGCUGGUGUCUGCCUCCAUCUUGGGGUCAGCCAGCAAAAGCCUCCCUGAAGUCCCCAGAGAUGCUUUCAUYUCCUGUUAAGCUGAGAUCUUUCCACUAGGAGAGGAUUCUUAUACUGUGGACUCACAGCUCAUGCCGAGGAUCUAUUCAGGUCAGCCUUGGUGUGAACCUCAACUUGCAGGCUCUUUGGAGAGUGAGGAAGAAGAAAAAGCCAAGGAGUGUUGCAGAGGAGGGAASAGCUAUUUUUAGAGGAAUGCAUUGCACGUGUUUCUCCUCAAAGAAAGAUGUGGAUUAAGAAUAUUAGACCAAACUAAAGCAAAGAGUUUUGGAACAGAGGCCUGUAGAAAUGCACAGCAUCAAAUAACUCGGCCAUAAUAAAUAUCAAAAUCUACCUCACUUAGCURUCUCCCUCAGUCCUUAUUAUCUAAUGAUGUAAUCUGAGAAGGAUAGUUCUGUCACUCUGUCCCCUGAGGUGAUCCUCCAAAAGCUGGUCUGUAGGACCACAGUCCUUCAGGGAGCAUUGUCCUGUGAUACCAUUGUUCUGUGAUACCUGGCCACGUCUGAGGCCAGRUGCAGGCAAGAUCUUGGUGAUUUGUCAAGCAGCUCCACCACCGCUAAGCUGUGCCCAAUUUGGCCUAGAUAAUUACUGAAAAGAGAUGCUUUUUAACAUGUCUGCUUUACCAGCUGGGCUGUGUAUGAGGUUAAUUAGCACAAUUAAUAGUCAAUGCUCUAAUUGCAGAUGUUUAGUGUGAGACUUUAUGAUUAUUGUUUUCUAAUGCAAUUGUACUGAACACUUGGAUGUUUCU